AUCACCAAGAGCCUUUGGGACUACUAAAACCAGCAAGAGUGCGUGAAGAAAGUCCAGUGCCAAAUGAACUCUCCCGUUUGUUUACGUUCCUUCCAUUGACACUUAACUGACUGUAGAUUCUGCACUGCGGCAUUCUGUACAAUCUGCACAGCGGAAAUAACUUUACUGAAUAUUUUCCUGCUUCUGUGACCCUAGUGUCACUGAACAGUGAUAAGGAACUGAAAUCUUUGUUGAUUUUCUCUGGCUCCUGCCUUGGUUGACAUCAGAUGUGCUCAAUGUUGGCAGCAGAAAGGGCAAGUACCUCCAUUUCCGAACUCGUGGUUCACUAACCUUUGUCAAUUAAGCUACGGGAGGCCACGUCAGGCCAGAGGUCAGAAGGUCAUGUCGCGGUGGAUGAAGACCCCACAGAAGGACUGAGUUCAAGCUGUCGCUCUCGUUGAUGCUGACGGAGGGUGUUUUCAAAAUUCUGAGACAUAUGUAAUUAUCGGUGUGAAAUGUAGUUUAUAUUGAUCCCCUUCAGUUUUUUGGUGUUUUCUAUCUUGUUGCCCAUUGGCGGGAGGGAGAUAUGUUACUUUUUUUUGAGUGAGGGAGGGAUUGGGUGUUUGAUGUUAUUGUCAUUGUUUUUUUGUGUAUGUGGGAGAGAUUUGGG